GACGAACGCUGGCGGCGUGCCUAAUACAUGCAAGUCGAGCGAAGUUUUUCUGGUGCUUGCACUAGAAAAACUUAGCGGCGAACGGGUGAGUAACACGUAAAGAACCUGCCUCAUAGACUGGGACAACUAUUGGAAACGAUAGCUAAUACCGGAUAACAGCAUUAACUGCAUGGUUAAUGUUUGAAAGUUGGUUUUGCUAACACUAUGAGAUGGCUUUGCGGUGCAUUAGCUAGUUGGUGGGGUAAAGGCCUACCAAGGCGACGAUGCAUAGCCGACCUGAGAGGGUGAUCGGCCACACUGGGACUGAGACACGGCCCAGACUCCUACGGGAGGCAGCAGUAGGGAAUCUUCCGCAAUGGGCGAAAGCCUGACGGAGCAACGCCGCGUGAGUGAAGAAGGAUUUCGGUUCGUAAAGCUCUGUUGUUAGGGAAGAAUGAUUAUGUAGUAACUAUACAUAGUAGAGACGGUACCUAACCAGAAAGCCACGGCUAACUACGUGCCAGCAGCCGCGGUAAUACGUAGGUGGCAAGCGUUGUCCGGAAUUAUUGGGCGUAAAGCGCGCGCAGGUGGUUUAAUAAGUCUGAUGUGAAAGCCCACGGCUCAACCGUGGAGGGUCAUUGGAAACUGUUAAACUUGAGUGCAGGAGAGAAAAGUGGAAUUCCUAGUGUAGCGGUGAAAUGCGUAGAGAUUAGGAGGAACACCAGUGGCGAAGGCGGCUUUUUGGCCUGUAACUGACACUGAGGCGCGAAAGCGUGGGGAGCAAACAGG
rnacentral:rRNA from 1 species